AGGGAAUCUUCGGCAAUGGACGGAAGUCUGACCGAGCAACGCCGCGUGAGUGAAGAAGGUUUUCGGAUCGUAAAGCUCUGUUGUAAGAGAAGAACGAGUGUGAGAGUGGAAAGUUCACACUGUGACGGUAUCUUACCAGAAAGGGACGGCUAACUACGUGCCAGCAGCCGCGGUAAUACAUAGGUCCCGAGCGUUGUCCGGAUUUAUUGGGCGUAAAGCGAGCGCAGGCGGUUAGAUAAGUCUGAAGUUAAAGGCUGUGGCUUAACCAUAGUACGCUUUGGAAACUGUUUAACUUGAGUGCAAGAGGGGAGAGUGGAAUUCCAUGUGUAGCGGUGAAAUGCGUAGAUAUAUGGAGGAACACCGGUGGCGAAAGCGGCUCUCUGGCUUGUAACUGACGCUGAGGCUCGAAAGCGUGGGGAGCAAACAGGAUUAGAUACCCUGGUAGUCCACGCCGUAAACGAUGAGUGCUAGGUGUUAGACCCUUUCCGGGGUUUAGUGCCGUAGCUAACGCAUUAAGCACUCCGCCUGGGGAGUACGACCGCAAGGUUG
rnacentral:rRNA from 1 species